UUAGCUAACAUUAACUAGCUAGCUAACAGUUUUUGUAGCUUUCUGUUUAUAUGUAGCUUGCACUUCAAUGGAAUCCCUCAAGGAGAUGUUAUUUGAUCUUUCCAACCAGGUGAAGUACUAUGAAGGCACCACUGAUCUCGACAAGAGGCGCAACAUUCGUAGGGGGCAGAAAUUCACUAUUCAGGGCAAUCACAUGUACCUAUGGGGGAAGGAUGGCCAGCCACACAGGAGGGUGAUUUUCACUGAGGAGAAGGAGGCCAUGCUGACCGAGAUGCAUGUUGGCCAUUUCAGAGUGAAGCGCCUGAUUGCCAAAAUCAACAUACGCUUCUUUUGGCAUGGGAUUGUCAAGGAUGUGGACAGCUGGGCAAGUAAAACAACCUUUUGUUUAUCGAUCACAUUCAAUUAUAUCUGAAAUUAUUAUGAUUUCAAUGAAUGUCAUAUCAGAGAGAACACAAUGUUUCAAUUUGUCACCUUGUGCUUAAAGGUCUAGCCUGACAGAAGUUUGAGAGGGUGAAGCCUGGCAUAAGAGUUGAAGCCCAUCAGUUGUUUUACCAUGGCACAUGAUCGACUUUAUAUGUUAGGGGUUGACUUCAUCGGACCCUUAACGAAAUACAGGAAUGGCAACAGCUGGUGUCUGACGGCGACCGAUUAUUUUACCAAGUGGGGGGAGGCAAUACCCAUUCAGGACAAGACUGGCGAGGCCACCUCCAAGGUGAUGAUGGACAUCUUCAACACCUACGGUUCUCCUGAGGUCAUCUUGACUGACCAAUGUCGUGAACUCUGAAACAAGGUUUGGAUGAACAGACCAACCACACCCUCAAGACUGCCAUGGGCAAGUCCCUUGACGGGUUCCAGGAAUGGUGGGAGGACAACCUGAAGGUCAUUCUCUUUGCAAUUCGAGCCCUGCUUUUAACCAUAAGACAUCUCCACAGAAACGUAUAGCCUAACGAUUGCAUGGUGACAGUGAUUGUGUCUGUUAAACCGGUAAACUGGAAAUUCUGGGGGAAAAAACUAGUUCAAGUCAUGAUAUCAGGGAUUUUCAGGUCAGAGAAAGAUGCCAGAGUUUCUGAAUUGGAAUUCCGAGUUGGAUGACCGUUCAAAACUAUUUUUCCCAGUCUGAGCUUGCUUUUUUCCCCGAGUUCCCAGUUGUCUUGAACACACUGAAGUCGGUAGUCAGAGAUUGCAAAGUUCUGAGGUUUUUUUUAUGUGCCACUAGAGACCUAGGCUACCUCUUAUUUCUGAAUAGGGCUACCUCCAACAAAGAAGCGCUUAUGUCUGUAUUGAUGUGAGAAAUAGGCAUAUCUUCACAGUAAUGGUGGCUGGCUGCGAUAUCAACAAGCCUAAUCAUUUUUGUAUUGAGGUGAUAUUCAAUUGACAAAUUUCAAUUGAAAUUAAUUAGAUUACUCUGGCAAUGAAAAAUAUUUAGAUGUAAGGCGUUCAUGGUGAGAUCUUUAAUAAUAAAGUAAACAGACACUUAUCCUGUUAGGGCUAGGGGGCAGUAUUGACACGGCUGGAUAAAAAACGUACCCGAUUUAAUCUGGUUACUACUCCUGCCCAGUAACUAGA